AAAAUGCGUAGAAUGUGGCACGCUGCAUCAUCUGAGGGAACUUCUCCCUGCAGACCUGCAGCAGCUGAAGCCUUUGAGAACCCACUCCUGCUUUAGCAAAGCUGAUCAUCCAACAACCUGAAUAACAAUUCCUUACGUGGACGAGAACAAAGGAAAUGAUGAUGAGGAACAUGUUUCUUCAUUUGCCAUUUGUUCUGCUCUGCAUGGCUGCUGUGUUUAAGGAGAUCAACGGAAUACCAACCUAUCAAGACUUCAAAAAUAGACACAUGAUCGGAAACACGGGUUUACCUGGCAACACUUACAAUGAAAAAUGUACAAUGGGGAUUGAAAACCGUGGCAUAUUCAUAACAAAUAACAACCAACAAGAAUGUAAGCCAAUCAAUACAUUCAUAAUUGGUGAUGAACAAUCAAUCAAAGACAUUUGUAAAUCAAAAGAUAACAUCUCAAUAUGCAGUAGCAGGAAGUUUGACAUCAUUGUAUGUAGGAAAAAUGAUGAUGGUGUAAGGCUGGUUAGUGAAGGCUGUAAAUAUAAAGGUACUCUUCAGAAAAGGCAGGUUGUUGUUGCGUGCAAAGAUGGUUUACCAGUGCACUUUGAAAGAUUCUGCUAACUGAUUAAAUACACUGGAAAUCUUGCGAUCCAGGAUAUUACUUUAAAUAUGACAAUUAUGAGCCAUUUUAUUGUCUGUCAAAUUCAUAUAAAAUGUGCAUAAAAAUGCUUUUCUUGUGGACAUCUAUUGUAUCACCUGCUAUAAUUUGCUUUUACAGAAUCACCUGCAUGCAAUUAACAUUUCAUUCAACUUUUCAAGUUGGACAUUCAGUUUGCUCUACAGCAUCCAUAAAAAUAAACUUGCUAUGCCCUUU